rnacentral:snRNA from 1 species
AUCACUUUUUGGCCUUUUAACUUAGAUCAAGUGUAGUAUCUGUUCUUAUCAGUUGAAUAUCUGAGGAUGAUAUAUUGAACGGAUUUUUGGAGUUGGAAGGUAGGAGGUUGCUUUGUCUACUGCAUGCAUUGACCUGGUAUUGCAGUACCUCCGGGAACAGUGCACCCCUC